CCAGGAUGUCUUGUGUCUGCAGGUGUCCAGGGUGAGGUGCAGCUGGUGGAGUCUGGGGGAGACCUGGUGAAGCCUGGGGGUUCCCUGAGACUCUCAUGUGUGACUUCUGGAUUCACCUUCAGUAGCUAUUGGAUGAGCUGUGUCCGCCAGGCUCCAGGGAAGGAGCUGCAGUGGGUCGCGUACAUUAACAGUGGUGGAAGUAGCACAUGGUACACAGACGCUGUGAAGGGUCGAUUCACCAUCUCCAGAGACAACGCCAAGAACACGCUGUAUCUGCAGAUGAACAGCCUGAGAGCCGAAGACACGGCCGUGUAUUACUGUGCGAGGGACACAGUGAGGGGACCUCAGUUACCAGGCUAUGUUGAUGAUAAAGACUUUAUAAUCAAUCUUGUCUGCACAUACUGUUUUGCCCAACAGCUGUAG